CAAAUUAAUAUGAGCAAAUUUGAUAAAAGACUACCCAAGAAUGCUACAGACAAAGCUUGGUGAUCAUCCAUUAAUUAGUUCUGUAGAAAUAGACGUUUAAAAGUAUUUCUAUAUUUAGCUUUAGCUGCCCCAUAAAGAGGCCAGUCACAAUAAUAUGAGCAAACUUGAUAUAAGACUACCCAAGAAUGCUACAGACAAAGUUUGGUGAUCAUCCAUCAAUUAGUUCUGUAGAAGAAGACGUUUAAAGGGUUUUCUAUAUUUAGCCUUAGAGACACCUUAAAGGGGCCAAUCAAAUUAAUAUGAGCAAACUUAAUAAAAGACUACCCAAGAAUAAUACAGACAAAGUUUGGUGAUCAUCCAUCCAUUAGUUCUGUAGAAGAAGAUGUUUUAAGGUUUUUUCUAUUUUUAGCCCUAGAGACCCCUAAAAGGGGCAAUCAAAUUAAUAAUGAGCAAACUUGAUAAAAAAAAAACUACCCAAGUAUGCUACAGACAAAGUUUGGUGAUCAUCCAUCAAUUAGUUCUGUAGUAGAAGAUGUUUAAAGGUUUUUUCUAUUUUUAGCACUGUUGACCCCUAAAAGGGGCCAAUUGAAAUGACAUGAGGAAUAUCAAGUGUGACUGUCACAAGGAUUCUACAGACCACAUUUGAAGUAAAUCUGCACAGCAGUUUAAUCUGCACAGCAGUUUCAAAGAAGAAGACGAUUGUUGACGCAUGACGACGACGACGGACGCCGGAGUAUACUCUUUGAUACUAAUAGAUCACACUGAGCCUUCGGCUCUGGUGAGCUAAUAAACAUUUUCUUUUCAUGUUUACCUUUAUUUAAUCAAUUUAUAUUUGUAAUUAAAUACAACUAAAGAUGUAGGGCGAUAGUUAUCAAUUCGUAAUAAAUGACUAUUUUGCUAUAAAGUUUCCUGAUAUAAGAAACUGAUUGCUGUAUGCUUAAAAGGAAAUCCGCAUAUAAGGAACAGAUUUUGAAUGUCGCAGUGGGUUCGCUAUAAGCACAGUUUACUGUUGUCAUGUACCAUUUGGCAUUACAAUUCUUGAGGCUGUUAUUUUACAAUGGCAACUUUACACUCGAUAAAUGUUAAGAUAAACCCGCUUUGCCAGUCGUUUAAAUGUCAUCUCUUGAAAUACAGGUAAUAGUUCUUGAAUGAUGAGUCCUUCACGUCUUUAUUUUAGAUUUAUUUUAAUCACUUGGAAAAUACAACAUAUCAUAGCGAGGUUUUGUAUCAUAAAACAAUUAAAAAUUAGAUAAAAUGAGAGCAUCAUUUUGCCACCAAAUACGACAAUCGAAAAUACUUGUGAAAAUUUUCUUUUUAAAAAAUUCACCUUCAGUUCACGUUUAUAUAAUUCUCACAAUUUCAUUACUUUACCUUGGACCUCUGCAUGUCACCUUGACCAAGAGGGAUAUUGCGUUUUUGCUUAACAAGAUGCUUUACAAUAUUGAAUAUUUUUGCAAAGUAUAGCAAUCUUUAUAUAUAGGUAAAAAGAUUCACUGCAAAUAAAUGUUUUCCACUAACCUAUAAAUGUGUACCUUGACCUACACAGCUGUAUAAUGUUUCAAUUUUUAUGUUUUUCUUGAUAAUAUGUACUUGUGUCCAGUAACAACUGAAUUCUUCUAUGCAUUUAAGAGAUAUACUCCGGACAAAAUUCUAACUUUUACCAUGGCAUGGUUUAUGUUUAAUAUUGUAAAACCGGUGCAAGAGACGUGGACGAAGUCAACGAAUAUGUUCAAUAAACCCGAGUCUGCAACAUUUUCAGUUCUACCUAUUUUAGCGUUUUCUUUGAAAGCUUAUUUCUUUAAUUUACAUGUUAUCAUUUCUGGUGACCAUAAGCAAAACUAUGCUGGCAAUACCAAGUCAUGAUUGACAUUUUUUUAUAUAAUCCAUCGAUUCAAGACCCCCCAAAUGUCAUAAACUAGAAAUAAUGGCCGAAAAUAAAUAAAAUAGAAUUUUGAAAGGGGUCAGGUUUAUGAGCCUGCACAUUACAGAUAAGCUGUAACAAGACAAAUUUUACAAAAGGAGACAAGAUAUCGUAUGGGUGACUUGCAGUAUUCAACAAAGAAACAAUUGUGCCAACUUUUAUUAAAAUUUAAAAUAAUGCUCCGGUCAAGCAUUUUCCUACGACCUCUUAGUGUCACUGUCGUUGAUCUAGAUGUGCUGCGAAAAUAUCCAGAACUUGGUUACUAGCAUGGAUUACAUUUAAUAUAAAUUAGGAUUAAAUUGCAAACACUUUCACUAUUUACAAGAAAGCCGACUUUUUGCAACCAUACCAUUUGCUUCACGCUUAAACCAACAAGACCACCAGUUCACGUUCGUCCCCGUGAUCUGUCUUAUUUUGGUUGUAUUUUUAAAUUAUUAGUCGAUGUCAUUAUGGUUUUCUAUCAAACGUGUCUAAGAAAGCACCAUAUGCGAAUGCGUGAGCUGAAGACGUGGGAACUUUGAAGAGAAAAAUAAUAUCAAUAAAACACGUCGAAUAGCAAUAUACAGAUCAACUACUACUUAUGAACUGUUCUAUUUUAAUUGAUCUUAUUUUUAUUCAAAUUUUAACCAACAAAAUAAGACAAGAAUCUCCAAUUUGCAACUUUUUAACUUACCCGUACCAAAAUCUAUGUCGCAAGAGGCUUGAUGUCAUCGUAUAUGCGUCUACAUAACUUUGUAAACAAAUAUGACUGCGCCCAUAAGAGUUAUAAUUUUUACGUUGUUAUUGUGUGUAUGCGGCGAAGAAACGAAUAUUUACUGUGUUGUCAAAGAAACAUUAACAACAGGAUGGGAACUUGAUCCCGUUUAUAUUACAAAUCCAGCUACUAUUUCAAACCAGAUGUGAUAACCUGUUCUCAGUUGAUGGAUACAAGUUACAGAGAUGUGAUAGAGAUGCCCAUGGUGGAGGCUUGCUGACACUAAUACGGGCUGAUUUACCUAUUAAACGCCGUACAGAUUUAGAAAAUCAAGGUAUCAAAAAAGUGUAAAUGUCCCAAGGGUCAAAACAGUACAGUAACAUACGGUAAGAAUUCUUUUCGGUUUGAGGGUGCCCAGAUAUGGAA